UAUCUCUGUAGAGUCUGCAUAUCAAUAAGCGGAGGAAAAGAAACUAACUAGGAUUCCCUCAGUAACGGCGAGUGAAGCGGGAAGAGCUCAAAUUUGAAAUCUUCAAGGUUCUACCUUGACGAAUUGUAGUUUAAAGAAGUGUUUUCUGUUGGUGUUUUGGUAAAAGUUCUUUGGAAUAGGACAUCAUAGAGGGUGAGAAUCCCGUAUUUGACCAUUACUUCCAGCGUUGUGAUACACUUUCAAAGAGUCGGAUUGUUUGGGAAUGCAGUCCAAAAUGGGUGGUAAAUUUCAUCUAAAGCUAAAUAUUGGCGAGAGACCGAUAGCGAACAAGUACCGUGAGGGAAAGAUGAAAAGAACUUUGAAAAGAGAGUUAAACAGUACGUGAAAUUGUCAAAAGGGAAGCGUUUGACACCAGUGUUGUUUUCUCGAAAAUCAAUUACAAAUGGCAUUGAUUUUGUGUUGUAUUGACCUUAUCAGCUUUCUGCACUCUUUUUUGAGUCUUUUCUUAAUGCACUUUUCGUUUAACAAGUCAACAUCAAUUUCUUUUGUUGUAAAAGGAGUAUUCGGAAGGUGGCUUUCUUUUCGGAGAGAGUGUUUAUAGCCCUAUGACUUCUGCAAUCGGAGAGAUUGAGGUCUGCAGCGUAGAUCCUUCGGGGUUAGAUACACUUGUGCUAAGUUAUAGCUUUUCAUAGACAACUUGUUGACUAUGAUUAGUCAUGUCGCUUACUCGCUUAUGCUAUUUUACCUACGCUUAGGAUGUUGAUAGUCACAGCGUGUAC
rnacentral:rRNA from 1 species